AAUACUGUCGGUAUUCAGCCCAAGAUCAACGGUGCAAAAAAUUGAAUAGCAAGGGAUUAGUAAUUAGAUCGUUUGGAAUUUGGAAAGAAAGCUUGCUCCAAUUUCAGUUUUGAUUCUCCCAAAGGGCACCUGGUUGUGAUGUAUAUUUAAUGCAUAUUUCUUUAAGAAGGCAUGAGGUCUUAUUGGGGAGCCUAGGCUGAAUUGUUUUCAGAAGGGUGAGAUGUUUCAGCCUAUCAACUAUACUACUAUUACCCUGAUUCCUAAAGUGGUUAGCCUUGUCAGAAUCCCUGAGUUCAGGCCUAUCUCAUGUUCUACGAUGAUUGUUGUAUAAACAGAUCUCUAAAGUGCUUACCAAGAGAAUGCAUAGGGUUAUAGAGGAUUUAGUGGAUCAGAGUCAGUCAAUUUUUGUUCCUGGGAGAGUUAUUUAUGACAGUAGGAAGAAAAUAUCUGCAAGAUGUAUGUUGAAAAUUGACAUUAAGAAGGCAUAUGAUUCAGUGUCUAUUAUGCAAUAUUUGCCCUUAAUUGAUAAGAUGCUUCAUCAAGUUUCUAACCUAUGCUGGUCGUUUACAAUUAGUGGAGUUUGUUCCCUUUUUUGUUCAAGUCUUUUCAUCCCAAGUAUUUGUGUUGCCCAAAAAGGUAGUUCGGCUGGUUGAGGCUACACGUAGGACUUUUUUAUGGACAGGUAGUGUUGAAUUAUCCAAGAAGUUCCUUAGGAAAGAUUAUGUUUGCCAAAAGCUGCAGGAGGUCUUACUAUCUUAGAUGUCUAUAUGUUGUUGUGGGGAAGUAUUGUAGAAUAUCUGUAAGAAAAAAGACACCUUGUGGGUGAAGCAAAGGAGGUGCUGUGUGGAAAACUCAGGAUAAACAAGCCUCCUGGAUGAUCCAACAGAUUUUGAAGACAAAGAAGCCAUUGUUAAGGCAAGUAUGACAGAGGAGGAUGUGGCUCAGCUGCACACUUACUUUAUAAAAAAGGUGUAUAGGUUGAUUAGAAAUGAGGCUCCAAAGGUACCAUGGAGAAGAUUCGUAUGUAAUAACAAGGGAGUUCCGAAGUGGUUGUUUGUAAUAUACUUGGCACUACACAGAAGACUCCAAAACAUGAAAAAGAUAGCUUGUUGGGUGAACCUGAAAGAUACAGCGUGUCCUUUAUGUCAAUUGGAGGAUGACAAUAUUGAUCACAUGAUGACAAUAUUGAUCACAUGUUCUUUAAAUGUGUCUACGCAGCAUGUGUGUGGUGGAGAUAACUAUUUGCUUGGUUAGGCAUUGCCAAAUCAGUGGUUGAUUGGAAAAGUGAGGUUACGUGGCAAUGGCCAAGCAAGGGGCAAAACUGUACAAGAAGUGUACAUAAUGGAAUUGGCUGGAGUGGUGUAUCAUGUUUGAAAAGAAAGAAAGGCAGACCACCAGACCAGGUGGUUAAGAAGAUCAUACAUGAGAUUCAAUGUAGAGAUAAAAAAUGUAGUAAACCAAGUGGUAGAUUGCUGGAUUUAAAUUUCUAUCCCUAGUAUAGCUUAGUAGGUUGAUGUUUGUUGAUAUUUAGGUUGUUCGAGGGGUUGUAAUAGUAAUAAAGUUAGUUGAGAGCCUAAGGCUUCAGGUUCAAAUCCCCACGAUGAUAAAAAAUACCAGGCGAUUCUUUCUACAAGUACAAACAUUAUCAAGCUAGACUAAUUGAAAUUUGUAUUCGAGCUUGUUGUGAACAAUGCGGAGGUCAAUAAAUUGGCUUUCUUGAAAACGGUUAAUAAUCCAUCUACUGAUUGAUGUUG